GGCAACAUCACAUUGAAACACCGGUUCUUGUUCGAUCACCGAAGUUAAGCAACGUCGAACCUAGUCAGUACCUGGGUGGGUGACCGCUUGGGAAUACCAGGUAUUGUAA